CCGGGCGGCGGCGGCGGCGGCGGCAGAAGGGACGACUGAGCCCGCGCCCGGAGUUGCCGCUCCUGCCGCCUGGCGCGGGCGGCGCCUUCCCAGCAGAGCCGCGGCGCCGCGAGCGCGGGCGCCCCCUAACGGCGGCGCGGGCGAGAGGCCAGAGGGCCCGACGGCCGCAGGGACUCAGCCGGGCGCAGCGUGGACCGCACGGUCAGGCCAGCUUUGCUGCAGCCCCGAAGCCACGCCCCGAGGCCCCAGUCCCGCCCCCCGAAUCCACGAGGCCCCGCCCAGACCCCGCCCCUACGUCCCGCUUCCGCCCGCAGUUUGGGAUCAGCGUAGCUCCCGGCAGUCUUGACUGUGUUCUAGGGCCUAGGAUCCCCGGCGCUGUUUCUCCGUGUCAUCGCACUAGCGUGUAUGGGGCACCGACUAUGUGCCAGGCCUGAGGGAUACAGCGGCCACCAAGAUAGAGGGGGGUCCUAAUGAGAGGAGAAAACAGACAAGACCCAAGGAAACAGCCAGUAGUUUAUAAUAAUAACGAGUUCUGAUCAUAAAUGUUGGGAGGUGCAUGAUUAGCGGAAUUAGAUGGAGAACAAGGGGAAGGGGCCUCUGCUUCACACGCGGUGGCCUAGGAAGACCUGGACGUCAGGACUGUGGCCAGAGCGCCUCCUGGCUUUACCCUCCGUUGGGGGAGGCAAUCCUGUAAUAAGGUCACCUAUCCAUUAUGGUGGGCAGAGUAGGGAAUGGCAGCCUAGCCUGAAGGGUCAGCGUGGACAGCCAGGUGGAGAGAAGGGCAGAGCUGACUUCAGCAGAGAAAACGACCGGUGCAAAGGCUCUGAGGCCUGAAGGAGCUGGUCCUAGCUUCCAGAACUCUGCUGGGAGCUGCAGAACCAGGAGGAGGAGUCUGAUUCUCACCAGUCUUCAGAGUGAGGCCCUGUGGUUGUCCUUGGAUGUCACCAUCCUCUUCGCCAUUAUGACUCUAUAAUUAGAGAGAAUGGAUCUGACAUUAGACCAGGAAUCAGAAGCUCUGGCUCCCGUCUUUAGUCCCAGAGUGUCUCCGGGUGCCACAUCUGAGAACUUCACGGGCCUUGAGAGGCCUUGUAUGUCAAAUGGGAAUAAAGCUGCCUGACCAUAGCAUUACAGCCAGCUGGUGUGCGGGAGGCAAGACAGCUCCAGAUUCUGAGUUCUCAUCCUCCCUGAUGGCUCAGGGCUUGAAACACUCAUCAAUAAGACAUUUCAGGCCUUGGUUGUCACCCGCCUCAUUCCUAAUCCAAACCACUUCCCCUGCAUGUGUUUGCUUAUUGAGCAAGAGCUUAUUCACUUACAAAACACACCUCCUG
rnacentral:lncRNA from 1 species